CUGGUAAGCACUAAAUAGUUCUCUUUGACCAUGUGUUUGUUUAACAGAUAUAUUUUUGAUUGAAAAUAUAUAGUGCAUGCGUGCGUAUAAUUUUUGUUAAGGUCCAACAUCUUUCUCUGUUGGAGGCACUUUCCUCAGGCGCCACCUGGCCGCACCCACUGCGGUUUCCUCCCAGGACAAUUCUAGGACUUCGGCCUUUGCUUCUUGUAUCAGCCUGUGGUGCCGCAGACAGGCACGAGGUGUUCACUUGACAACUCUGAUAAUCACACACCAUCAGAGAUGUUGUGGUGUGGUUGAGUAAAUGACCUCCAGGGCUACUGAAAACUCUGAAAUUCUACACAUCUACGACUUCAUUAACAUUUUCUUACUUUCCAGAGGAAAGAAAGGGGCACUAACAUUUUGGGGCAUCUACGAAGUGGCAGUUGCCUUCCCAACAAUGUGAGGCACAUGAUUAUUCACAAUCAGCAUUGGUGAUUUAAUCUUGUUUAAAAAGGGGAAAAGAAAAUACCUUAAAUUUACAUAAUUCCAAAGAUGUUACCUAUUCUAAAAGAGUGCAGAGUCAAUGGGUUCUCAGUAAAAGCAGGAGUAGUUACUUCGGUUUUUCUAGAUUUUCUGGCGUCGGGGCUGAUGAACAGAGAGCAUGGGAGUAGAUGGGAGAGGGGCCAGGUGCUGGCUUGCAGGGCCAGUGAGCGCGAAGGGUAGGAGGCCUGCCUGCUCCGCGGGCCCCGCAGACCGGCCCUGGCAGAGGCUGGGCUUGGAGAGGCACUGAUGAGGCCGGACCCAUGGGGCCUGGACCCCCGGGAGGAGCCUUCCCGGGAGAUGUGGACAAACAGCCUGGUGAUUUGAGUUGAAAGUUUAAAAUGAGAGUCCCUAAGUUUCAUUUGUCAGUUUUAACUGAAUUAAUUCUGAGAAAAUAGAUAUUCUUGUACACAUAGAAUAAAUAUAAUGCGUGAAACAUUUAUUUAUUUUUGGCUGCUUCUAGCUUUCUUUUGAAGGAUCACUACUAACACAAAGAAGCAUGUCAAACUAUUUUGAAUUCUUUAUGGAUCACUGUUAGCUCUUCAGCAGCAGAAUCCAGAGAGGCGGUAAAGAGCAAGGAAGCCAGUAUUUUGGACAUCUCUGUUCACAUCUCAUCUUUCUAUUUGACUCAACUUUUCCUGUCAGUUUUUAUUUUCCCACAUCUACACCAGUGACAGUGCUAAUUGUUUCUGAAUUGUAGACAGCUACGACCUAAGAGCGUUCCCUAAACACCGACAUUAUUGUUACCGCUUGUCAGACGAGGUUUGAGCCCCUCAGAAUACGAAUUGCAUCAUAAGCAGGCGCUCAGGCAUCAGCGCAGGGCAGGGCCAGGCGGGCCCGCAGGUGGAGGGAGGCGCUCUCCUGCAUGCAGGACACGGUGUGGCUUUUGGACGCUACGACAAUCUUGAAGUCUCGCUCAUGAAAAUAACGGGCCAGGAAACAUCCACCCAGAAAGCCUGGAGGGUGAGCAAUUACCCUUAUUCAAACUUCCUGCUGUAAACGCGUGUGCUCACAGUUCCAUUUCUAUUUCAUGUAAUGCCUCAGAGCUGAAAGGAUCUUGUACAAGUGAUGAGCCUGGUGAAGCUUUAAAAAAAAAUCCCCUAUCAUAUUGCCUUAUCAAAAUUGAGGGAAAGCAUUUUCAGGGUGAAAUCAGGAAGGCUACUGUAACUAAAGCGCAUUGCUUUAACUACAAAAAUGCAAGUUUUCCUAGGACUCGUAGACAAACAUGAAAUUUUGUUGGGACAUAAGAGCAGCUGCUCUCCAGCUCUUUAAUAUGCAUGCCAUCCAGCCUUCCAUUUGUCCAUCCGUCCUGCCACUGAUCCAUCAGUUCAUCCUUGCAGCCACCCAACCAUGCAUGCAAUACUUCCCGAACACCAGCUCUAGAGCAGGCUGAAGAGCAAACGAAUUGGCCCGAUCCCUGCCCGGCGGUCUCACCAUUUGGUGGAGACCAUGAGAAAGGCAAGUGCAACACAGUGGAGUUAACCCUGGGGAGGGAUGAGUGAUGGUGUGGUGGGGGCACACGGGGUGUGAUGUGUGGGAAAACCUGGCCCACUGGAGAGGGCAGGAAGACUGUCCCAGACCCAGAGAAGGGAGGACCGCCAGGAGUUGGCCAGGAAUCGCAGAGGCAAGGUAGAGGGAAAGGAAGAGGGAACAGCAUGGGCUAAGGCCAGGGGAGGGCGUGUCCCAUUUGGGCAACUGAAAGCGGCCGUGGAUGCCCUCCAGGUCACUGCUCUGUCCUCUUCUUUCAGCGACAGACAGUGAGUUAUUUCCUAAACUGCAUUCUGAUGAAAUCAAGAACUCUUUCUCCUCUUCUGCCAAGGGGCUACCGUGCUGGGUUCUCCCUCAGCUUCUUGUCCUCAUUUCUUUGCUUUCAUCAGCUCAAAGACGUCUGGGAAGCAGUACUUUCAGCUCACCCUGUGAUCCCCACCCUAGCUAUUCUUCUGGUAUCUGGAGUCCACUCCAGAGCAGUGAGUUGGCCCCUGAAAUACUCACACUGUGACAGGAGGUGAGCUCCCCACGAGGUGCACAGAUGUAUCUCAAUCACACCAAUUCCGCUUAACAAUACAACCAAAAUGAGAACAUAAUAAACAAUUACUGUAAGACACACUACUAGAAUCCCAAGCCAUGUCAGCCAAAUAAAAGACAUUAAUUAGACAGUGAAGAUACCCUCUAAGUAAAGGAAGUCGAAGGAGAUAAACCAUUUAUUGGCACUGGGAUCAACAGAUUCUAAAUUAGCUGCAAAACCCCGGCAAAAAGGACCUAAACAUCACUGCUGUCAUUAUUUGUCCUCGAGGGGCCCUCAGAGGGCUUGCUGCUCUCUGGGACUGUUACUGUGGGUAGUUGAGACGUCUCCGGCGUGGGUGGCGGAGGCCGCGGCAGGGGGCCUCCUGAGGCUAGAUGGCUGUCUGACAGGGAAGGUGAGGCGAAGGCACGCAGAAGCCAGGCGAAGGGCCUGCAGCUCCUCAGGGCCUGCGACCCCUGUCCCGCCCCACAGUCCGCUCUUUCCUCCCUGCCUCUCUUUGAAGUCUUGAGCCCAGAGACAGAAGAGGGGAUGGGUGCUGGGAGGCAGCUGUGUGCCGCCUUCGCUUGAGCUCCCAGCAGCCGGGAGCCUAGGACAGAGGCUGGAGACAAAGGUGGUCAGGUCCUCUAUUCAUCCUCCGUACCAGAAAUCUAAUAGUGUUGUUGCACAACGUGAGCGUGGAGUUAGGCUCAGAAAGAGGGCAGGCUGCUCUGAGGCAGUAAGCGCCAUUAUUGCCAUUGCAGCAUGUCGCGCGCUAUACACAUUGUGGCCCACUUGUGCACGGGCCCCUCCAGGUGGGAAAGAGUUCACAACGAUUAAAGUGAUGUUCUCCGAGUCUGCAUGUCUGCCAAGAACCCAUGGUUCACUGUCUGGUUAAUGGCACACAUUUUUAUCUUCUUAUUGCUAAGACUACACUUUUAAAAUCAGUCAGCUUUACUGAGGUAUAACUAACUCAGAAUAAAACCCACACAUUUCCCAUGUACAGGUCGGUGACUUUGAUGAGGCAGACACCAUGCAACCACCACCCAACAAUGACACACAACAUCCCUGUCGUUGCCAGAAGGUCCUUGUGCCCCUUUGUCAUCAACCUGCCUGCCGGGCCCGUUCGGAUGGCUGGGAUGGAUCCCGCCUGCCCGGCUCUCGUGGGAAUGGUCACCACAGGCGUCCUGGGAUCCGCUGCCUUUCAGUGGACACAACAGCUGCGGCGCCCGCUCUGUGAACGUCCACACUUUGCUCCUCUGUAUUGCUGAAUAGUAUUCCAGGUACUGCUUCAGCACGAUGUUCAUCCAUUCACUCAUCUGAUUUCUUUGUGCUAAAAUUACAUUUAAAAAAUGGUUUUUGGUAGUUUCCUGGACCUGGGCAGUCCUGACCUCACAUUUGAUGUAGGCGACUAAAAUAUCAAGGUUCCAAAAGGGACUUUUCCCCGGCAAGUCUGUCUAGACGCUCCCAGAGGAGGACCGUGGGCUCAGCCAGCUUCACGUCUGGCCACCACAGCAGUUUUCAAGGCAGCAACCUGGACACGCUUCUGAAUGCUUCCAUGGAGCUGUCCCCUUUGACAGGCUCCCUGUGAGCCCCUCCCCAGCCCCCUGCUGGGGGUCGCCACAGAGAUGCUACAAGUAAGUUCUGAGGAUCCGCAAAUAAACCCGCAGCCCCUUCCCACACCAGCGGCGAGCAUGGCCAGAAGGGAAGGGUCGAGGGGGAGAAAAACGAUGGCAUUUGCCCAGAGCUAACCCCAGUGGACGCUUUUCAAAAAGUCACUUCAGAAAGAUUGAUGGCGUGUUGAAAACAGCAGCCUGUUUGUCAUUAUAAAUAAUCACCCUCACCAAAAUUCCUCUGUCCUAAGAUGUGUUUAUGCUCACAUACAGAUUCGGCUCAGAGGACAAACAAACACAGCGCAUGCGUGUGGCCUCGACUUCUGAGGACGCUGUGGUUCCUCCUCCCAGCCUGGGAGUGAACGUGUGUGUCCAGGGAGGUGGGGCGCAGGGCUAGGUGGUGGGCGUGGUUUCUCUCGUCCCCCCUGGCAAACUGCUGCAAGGAGCCACCUCUCCACUCAGAGGUUCCCCCUCUGUUCGGGAAAGCCGCAGCCUUUUAUGCCCUCAUCUGAGGAAAAGCAGGGCGUGCCUAAGAGAAUCUUCCCUGGAUUUCGUCAGGCGUCUGCACUGUGGGAGCAGAGCCCUCAGGUGUGUUGCUGAAGGCAGAUGUCCGGUCUCUUAGCUUACUGAGGGUAUUUGUGGAGGUGUACCCAGCUCCAGGCCCAGGCCGUGUUCGUACACACAUUCUUGUUUACUCCUCCAAAAGCCAUGAGGCAGGCACUUACUAUUCCCCAUUUAACUUGCUGAGCCUAUAGAGGCUCAGAGAGGUUGAGUGACUUGCCUGAGGUCACACAGACAGAGGUAGGAGAGCUGGGGUACAAAUCUAGAUCUGCUCCACUUUCUACCAUUCUACCCAGCCUUGGGAACCGGGCUCUCGGGAGCCACAGAGAGAGGCUAGAGAUGGCUGGAAGAGGAGAGAGUGAGAAGGCAAGUCAGUAGAGGAGGCCGGGGUCAGUGCAAUGUGGCCUUGGUUUCACCUAACUUCUGAGGACCCGUGAGAGUUGGAUAAUUCUUUACAAGGCCAAGCGAACCACAAGGAGCCAGGCGACGGCAGGAGUCAGCGUCCUCCGUGGCAGCCUCACUUCGUGGGUCCGUCCCGCCCCCACACCCAGGGCGUUUGAAGAUUCCUGGAGCCAUUUGGUUCCAGUAGGUUCCUGUUGUCCCCUCUCCGCUUUCAACAUCACGCCAGCUCCACGGACGCUUAACUCCCAGGCACACCCGUGGCCGUUUGGAUGCCCACGAAGAGUUCCUGCCCUGAGAAGUGUGAGGGCAGGGCGCGGAGAAAAUCCAACAGCAGCAACAGCGAUGUCUGCACGCGGCCAGUCUCUUAAGGCGGAGCGGCAGGAUUUUGUUCGUGUGUGUGUGUGUUCAUGGGCACACGGGCUGGGCCCUGCUCCCGAUCCUGGCAUCAGAGCAUCCCCUCCUGCUGCCGCACGAGUCUUUCAUGGAGCAGGUGACCCGGAUGUUGCAGGCUAUAAAUAACCAUUAAAUGUCCCUUUCGGAGAGGCCCUUUUUUCCCUUGAAUUCGAGUCUCAGCAUGAAGCAAGUAACUUGUAAAUUUGGAUCCUUUCUGUCAAACUCAGGGUCUUGUUCUACCGGUUUGAAAGAGGAUUCAUUCUGCUGUUCCCUUCUCAAGUAGAGUAUAGGAAAGCCUGGAGGAAGGCGAGCUUAGCAGAGGCACCUUGCAGCUCCCCCCGAGAACACCCGCUGGAGAAACGAAGAGCAUUGGUAUCGCUCCGCGCGUGGGGAUCGUUGAGGUUGGGAUAAAACCUCUUAUUCAUGGUGUAAUUUGUUCUUCACGUGGUUAAAUUACACAUUAAUACGACAGGGGUUAUGUUGUAAUUACACCACACUCCUCCCCCCGCCCUGUGCCUUUCUUCAAGAGGAGGGAGCUGAGUCAGUGCGGAGCCCUGAAUACCCUUUUUCAAGAGACGCUGAAAGCAGUGGCACUGCCCCAGCGGAGGCAGGCAGCGACUAGUCUGAACCGUCCAGAAUCAACACGAGGAGUCGCACGGGGUGGGAGUGCUGGCUCCCGGGCUCAGCCCGAUUGCUGAACGCGGUUUUCGGAGCAAAGACCCAGGCGUCUCUUCCUUGGCUGCGCAUGGAGUGACAGCACUGCUGGCGUCCGCUCCCGGCUGGGGCGACAGGAGCUGACAAGGACCAUCACCCCAGUGAGCCCAGUGCCGCAGCGUGUGAAGACACCAUUUACUGGGUGUUCCAUGGAUGGAUUUCAUGCCUCUAGCGGUUUGAAUGCCAGUUAUUCCCAUGCCAAGAGCCCUAAGAUGAUGCCAAAGUAUUCGGAACUAGAGUAUGCUGAUAUUAAAAUUAAAGAAAUACAUUUAAAGCCUAGAAA